GGACUACCCGGGUAUCUAAUCCUGUUUGCUCCCCACGCUUUCGCGCAUCAGCGUCAGUUACGGGCCAGUGUGUCGCCUUCGCCACUGGUGUUCUUCCGAAUAUCUACGAAUUUCACCUCUACACUCGGAGUUCCACACACCUCUCCCGCACUCUAGACAGCCAGUAUCAAAGGCAGUUCCAAGGUUGAGCCCUGGGCUUUCACCUCUGACUUAGCUGUCCGCCUACGCGCCCUUUACGCCCAGUAAUUCCGAGCAACGCUAGCCCCCUUCGUAUUACCGCGGCUGCUGGCAC
rnacentral:rRNA from 1 species